rnacentral:rRNA from 1 species
AUUAUGAAUAUAGCCUGAUUUAUUAAAUAAUUAUUAAUUUUAUUUUUUAUUAUUUUUAUUGGAAGUAACUUUUGUUUAAUUAAAAUUUUGAAAAAAUCCUAAUUAUUAUAGUUUAUUAGUAUUGUGAAAGAAUUUAUUUUUUGUUUUGAAAGGAAAUUUAUUUUGUUGUACCUUGUGUCUCAGGGUUGAUUUAUUAAAAUUUAUGUAUUUAAUUUUCUCGAAUUUAGAAGAGCUACAAUUAAUAUAUUUUUUAUUGUUUAAUAAAUAUUAUUAAUAUAGUUGUAGGAGUGAGAUGUUAUUCGAUUUUAGAUAUAUCUGGUUAUCAAAGAAAUUUUUUUAAUUGAUUCUUCAUUUAAUACUGAAAAUUAGUUAUUAUUUUUAGUGUUUGUGAUGCUAUAAAGUAGAAGGGAUGAGCUUUUUACUUUAAUUAUAUAAUGUUUUUUUUAUUAUUUCUAGAAAUAGGAAUAGAAGCUUCUUUUUUAAUAGUGUGUUAUAUCUAACUAGAUUGUUUUUAUUAUUUUUAGUUAAUUUAUGUUUUUUAUUUGAUUUAUUUUUUUAAUUUUUUUUUAAUAUUUAAUAAUGAUUGAAUUAGUAAAUAAUUCUAGUUUAAGGUUUUAUUUUAGAAAGGUAAAAAAAAGGAACUCGGCAAAUAAGUUUUCUACCUGUUUAUUAAAAACAUGUCUUUUAGUUUAUAAUUUAAAGUCUAGCCUGCCCAAUGAUUAAUUAUUUAAUGGCCGCGGUAUUUUGACCGUGCAAAGGUAGCAUAAUCAUUAGUUUCUUAAUUGGAAGCUGGAAUGAAAGGUUGGAUGAGAAAAGAGCUGUCUCUUUUUUAUUUAUGUUGAAUUUUAUUUUUGAGUGAAAAAGCUUAAAUGUUUGAUGAAGACGAGAAGACCCUAUAGAGUUUAAGACUUAUGAUAAUAUUUUGAUUAGGAUUCUGUUUAGGAUAUUUUAAUUAAGUUUUUAGUUGGGGCGACUGAGAAAUUUAAGUAACUUUCUUUUUAUUGUUACAUUGAUUUGUGAGUUUUUGAUCCAUUUUUUUUGAUUAUAAGAAUAAACUACCUUAGGGAUAACAGCGUAAUUAUUUUUUAGAGUUCUUAUCGAUAAAAUAGUUUGCGACCUCGAUGUUGGAUUAAAAUUUUACCUAGGUGUAGAGGCUUAGGCUUUAGGUCUGUUCGACCUUUAAAAUUUUACAUGAUCUGAGUUUAAACCGGUGUGAGCCAGGUUGGUUUCUAUCUCUUUAAAUUUUUAAAAUCUUAGUACGAAAGGACCAGAUUUUAUUUUAAUAAAAUUUUUAUUGAAUACUAGUAAUUAUUGUUUUGGCAGAAAAGUGCAAUAGAUUUAGAAUCUUUUUAUAUAGGGUA